rnacentral:tRNA from 1 species
GGAGGUGUACCCAAGUGGAAAAGGGGCCCGUUUCGAAAGCGGGUAGGUGGCCGAGAGGCUGCGCGUGGGUUCGAGUCCCACCGCCUCCU